AUGAGAAUUUCCAUUGACGAGUGCAAGGAAAGAACCGCUAGAUUGCGUGCUAAAAAAGAAAGCUUUAUAAAAGCGUGUUCUUCUAGUCUACAUGAAAAUAAUGAUGAGGAUCUUAAAGUUAUUGAUGUGUCUCCGAUUAGAUCUAUUUUUUGCAAUAUGAAUUUUGAUGAUUAUGGGAGUGAUGAUGAAUCCACUUUGCCUAGAAGGCGUCCCAAAAAUUCGGAGUCUUUAGAUCUCGAUGCUAAAAUUGGUAAAAGUGAGAUUGGAGAAUCCUCUACUUCUAAUAAUAUAGAACUUACUAUCUCGGAUUUCAAGGAAUUUGAUUAUGAUAAUUGCUCAUUGAAAGGUUGUAUUUCCUUGUUGCAAUCCGUUGUUAAUUCUCCUCAUGCUUAUAGUCAAAAUAAAGAUUUUACCAAACAUAUUGUUGAUGCCUUGAUGCAAUCUUAUGAUGAAAAACUUAAUUUGGAAGUUUCUAUACCUAGAAAACUUAAUGAUGAGUGGGAACCUACUAUAAAGAUUAGAAUUAAAGAUUAUGAGUGUUUUGCUUUGUGUGAUUUGGGUGCUAGUGUUUCCACGAUUCCGAAAACUUUAUGUGAUAUUCUAGGUUUCCAUGAUCUUGAUGAUUGCUCUUUAAAUUUACACCUUGCGAAUUCCACCAUUAAAAAGCCUAUGGGAAGGAUCAAUGAUGUUCUUAUCAUUGCAAAUAGAAAUUUGGUGCCCGUAGAUUUUAUCGUUCUUGAUAUAGAUUGCAAUCUUUCUUGCCCUAUUAUUCUUGGUAGACCUUUCCUUAGAACGAUUGGUGCGAUUAUUGAUAUGAAGGAAGGGAACAUUAGAUUCCAAUUUCCAUUAAAGAAAGGCAUGGAGCACUUUCCAAGAAAGAAAGUCAAAUUACCUUAUGAAUCUAUCAUGCGUGCUACUUAUGAAUUUAGUGCCGAUGGCACGCGUUAG
rnacentral:rRNA from 1 species